GCUGAAAUAACAGAAUGUAAAUCCAAAUUCUUCUAGCAUGAAACUCAUGACACUUUUAAGUCCUCAUUUCUCUCCUUCUGCUUAAACUGAGCUCUACUAGGAAAAGCCCCUGGGGAACAUCGGUUCCUGACUUAUUUGGCUUAGUUUGAAAACUGCCAGAUGCCACCCAGGAUACUGCAUUAGGAUCCUGCCAUAAAACUUCACUUUGUGCUGACUCAAUUUCAAAUGAGCCAUGAAGUAUUACAUUCUUGAGAAGUGGAAGAACUUUCACUGGCUUUUCGGCAGCACAUCAGCUGAAGUCAUAGAAGAAACAGCAAAAUAGGUCAUAAUGGAUUCGGGGCUGUGUUUAUAACCUGGACAACAACUGUCACUUUGUGUUUGGGGAAUUGUUCCAGAAUACGAAAACUGAAUGUUAAGGUGUUGAACUGUGAGAGGUUGUCAUAUGAAUAGGCAAGUGAUUUUCUGACCAGAGCACAAAGAAGCUGUGACCAACUAAGACAGCCCUCGUGCCUCACCACGAAUAGAGUUGUUUAAUUGGUGACUGGAUGUUCAAUUAAUAAUGUCCCUCAUCUCCAAAGAUGUCCGUGUCCUAUCUCCUAAUCACAAGAACCUAUGAAUACGUUGCUUUACAUGGCAAAGGGACUUUGAGGAUGUCAUUAGAGGUCCUGAGAUUAGUGACUUCAACAUGAAUUUUGGGGAACAUGUUCAGCACAUAACAUAGAUGAAAGAAGAGUGUCAUGAGCCAAGGAAUGUAGGUGGCCCGAAGAAGCUGGAGAAGGCAAGGAAAUGGAUUUUUCCCUAGAGCCUCCAGAAGGGAAAGCAGCUCUGAUGAUGCCUUAGUUUUAACCCAGUGAAAACCAUGUCAAAUUUCUAACCUACAGAACUAUUAGAAAAUCAAUUUAUGUUGUUUUAAGCCACUAAAUUUGAGAUUUUUUUGUCAUGUUAGUAACAGAAAGCUAAUGGAAUGUCAAAACUUAAGGACCAAAUAAAUACAUCUUGAGACCCUACUCUGUAUCCAUCUAUUAUUAUGGGCAGUAAUCUACCUCAA
rnacentral:lncRNA from 1 species